rnacentral:rRNA from 1 species
UACGGAGGUGGCAAGCGUUACUCGGAUUCAUUGGGUGUAAAGGGCGUGUAGGCGGUUACGUAAGUUGAAUGUGAAAUCCCACGGCUCAACCGUGGAACUGCAUUCAAAACUGCGCGACUUGGGUAUGGGAGAGGAGAAUGGAAUUCCCGGUGUAAGGGUGAAAUCUGUGGAUAUCGGGAGGAACACCAGUGGCGAAGGCGAUUCUCUGGCCCAUUACCGACGCUGAGAAGCGAAAGCGUGGGGAG